rnacentral:lncRNA from 1 species
UCGAUCGAUACGAGGGACUUGACAUCAAUCGAUAUUUGGUGGUGACUAUCGGUCGAUAUUGAGCUGCGACCGUCGAAGCUCAAAAGAUCUCUAAAUAGGUCCAAAUACAUCAUUUUCUUGCAAAUAGUACAUGGACCUGUAAAUACUCUAAAUAGACUCUAUAUAAUAAUAAAUGUAUCUUAAAACACUUAUAAACCAUGGCUAAUAGUAGGUAAAAUCCAUGGUCUAUCAAAGGUAUUCUCGGGAAAUCAUUUCGUUGCUGACAAAUAGAUAAACGACUAGAGAAAGAAGUUAACCAACGUCUUGAACUCAAACACGAAUUGAGUACCUGCUGANNNNNNNNNNNNNNNACCUGCUGAACUCAAAGAAGUCGCGACCCGUUGGAAACGCCCGUUUGCGUUUGGUCUUCAUUUUCACUUCUCCGUUCAGAUCGGGACUC